rnacentral:lncRNA from 1 species
GACCAAAUAUUAUUAUCCCAUGUCCCCAUGGUCGAAAUAGUGGCAUUUUGAUGAACUGUUUUUAUGAACAAAGCAGGAUACAAGUCACAAAAAGGCUCCAUUCCAAACCAUCUUUCAUUCCAAAAACUUAUGUCUUUCCCAUCUCCGAGUACGAUACUAACAUUAUUACCAAACCAAUUACCUUCCCCCCCGCCACCCAAUUUCAAAAUGUCUCGCCACCAAAUUGAAGAAUGUUUAAGCCCCUCCGUCCCUUUUCCAUGCAAAAGAUUUGCAGUGAAAGAUCCAUAUCUAAAAUUCAAAAGUUCUUUCCAAGGCGUUAUCAUUUCCUCCAAGCAUCUCCACUUCCACUUGCAUAAAAGUGAGGAAU